GACGAACGCUGGCGGCGUGCCUAAUACAUGCAAGUUGAGCGCUGAAGGCUGGUACUUGUACCAACUGGAUGAGCAGCGAACGGGUGAGUAACGCGUGGGGAAUCUGCCUUUGAGCGGGGGACAACAUUUGGAAACGAAUGCUAAUACCGCAUAAAAACUUUCAACACAAGUUUUAAGUUUGAAAGAUGCAAUUGCAUCACUCAAAGAUGAUCCCGCGUUGUAUUAGCUAGUUGGUGAGGUAAAGGCUCACCAAGGCGAUGAUACAUAGCCGACCUGAGAGGGUGAUCGGCCACAUUGGGACUGAGACACGGCCCAAACUCCUACGGGAGGCAGCAGUAGGGAAUCUUCGGCAAUGGACGAAAGUCUGACCGAGCAACGCCGCGUGAGCGAAGAAGGUUUUCGGAUCGUAAAACUCUGUUGGUAGAGAAGAACGUUGGUGAGAGUGGAAAGCUCAUCAAGUGACGGUAACUACCCAGAAAGGGACGGCUAACUACGUG
rnacentral:rRNA from 1 species